CCUACGGGAGGCAGCAGUGGGGAAUAUUGGGCAAUGGGCGCAAGCCUGACCCAGCAACGCCGCGUGAAGGAAGAAGGCUUUCGGGUUGUAAACUUCUUUUCUCAGGGAAGAAGCAAGUGACGGUACCUGAGUAAUAAGCCACGGCUAACUACGUGCCAGCAGCCGCGGUAAUACGUAGGUGGCAAGCGUUAUCCGGAUUUACUGGGUGUAAAGGGCGCGUAGGCGGGAAAGCAAGUCAGAUGUGAAAACCAUGGGCUCAACCUGUGGACUGCAUUUGAAACUGUUUUUCUUGAGUACUGGAGAGGCAGACGGAAUUCCUAGUGUAGCGGUGAAAUGCGUAGAUAUUAGGAGGAACACCAGUGGCGAAGGCGGUCUGCUGGACAGUAACUGACGCUGAGGCGCGAAAGCGUGGGGAGCAAACAGGAUUAGAUACCCGUGUAGUC
rnacentral:rRNA from 1 species